AGGGGGGGGGGGCAGAUCUUUAUGACGUCAUAUUUGAGGGGGGGGGGUCAAAAAUCGUCCAAAAUCGCGUGACGUCAUUUAUGGACGGAUCUUAACCCAAUCCCAAACAAAAACCUCCCCUAUUACGGAUCAUUAAUCCUAACGCGGAUUCAUUUUUUUUGUUCCAUUCCAUGACAUCUUUGUCCAAGCCCGCAAGGUUUAGGCCUUAAUUCUUGUUACAGGGAAAAUUGAGUUUGUAGAUCCAUGCGGUGUACAGCCGUUUCAAUAGGUAUAACACAAAUAUACAGUGUCUAUUUGUUUGUGUUUUCUACCUUGUGAUGGGACUUUGUAGGAUGACACUUUGAGAUUUGUAAGGGGGCCACGGGUUGACCAAUAAGAUCUGAAUUGGUCUGGAGUAAUGGUUGACAGACAGUGUGGAUUUCUGCAGUCACGACAGCUUCAAAUCUAGAUUAGGUGUGAUGAGGUGGGACACUGAUCAGGAGCUGACAGCUGUGAUGAGGUGGGACACUGAUCAGGAGUUGACAGCUGUGAUGAGGUGGGACACUGAUCAGGAGCUGACAGCUGUGAUGAAGUGGGACACUGAUCAGGAGCUGACAGCUGUGAUGAAGUGGGACACUGAUCAGGAGUUGACAGCUGUGAUGAGGUGGGACACUGAUCAGGAGUUGACAGCUGUGAUGAGGUGGGACACUGAUCAGGGGUUGACAGCUGUGAUGAGGUGGGACACUGAUCAGGAGCUGACAGCUGUGAUGAAG